rnacentral:rRNA from 1 species
CCUACGGGCGGCAGCAGUGAGGAAUAUUGGUCAAUGGGCGCGAGCCUGACCCAGCCAAGUAGCGUGAAGGAUGACUGCCCUACGGGUUGUAAACUUCUUUUAGAAAGGAAUAAAGUGAGGCACGUGUGCCUUUUUGUGUGUACUUUAUGAAUAAGGAUCGGCUAACGCCGUGCCAGCAGCCGCGGUAAUACGGAGGAUCCGAGCGUUAUCCGGAUUUAUUGGGUGUAAAGGGAGCGUAGAUGGGUUGUUAAGUCAGCUGUGAAAGUUUGCGGCUCAACCGUAACACUGCAAUUGAUACUGGUAGUCUUGAGUACAGUUGAGGUAGGUGGAAUUCGUGGUGUAGCGGUGAAAUGCUUAGAUAUCACGAAGAACUCCGAUUGCGAAGGCAGCUUACUAAACUGUCACUGACAUUGAUGCUCGAAAGUGUGGGUAUCAAACAGGAUUAGAUACCCCUGUAGUC